GACUCCUGGCAAUGGGCAAAGAGACGCCUUGUUGGUGGUGGUGUUCUUAUAUCGGCCAGUGAAGAGCAGAUGGCAGUCCUUUAUUCAUCCCAGCUUGAUGCCUGGCUUGGUGGCCAAAGCGGUUUUAUGCCUAGGAUUAUUAA